rnacentral:rRNA from 1 species
UACGUAGGGACCUAGCGUUGUCCGGAAUCAUUGGGCGUAAAGCGCGCGUAGGCGGCCCGGUAAGUCCGUUGUAAAAGUCGAAGGCUCAACCUUCGAAAGCCGAUGGAUACUGCCGGGCUAGAGUCCGGAAGAGGCGAGUAGAAUUCCUGGUGUAGCGGUGGAAUGCGCAGAUAUCAGGAGGAAUACCCAUAGCGAAGGCAGCUCGCUGGGACGGUACUGACGCUGAGGCGCGAAAGCGUGGGGGAGCGAACAGG